UAGGGAAUCUUCGGCAAUGGACGGAAGUCUGACCGAGCAACGCCGCGUGAGUGAAGAAGGUCUUCGGAUCGUAAAGCUCUGUUGUUAGAGAAGAACGUUGGUAGGAGUGGAAAAUCUACCAAGUGACGGUAACUAACCAGAAAGGGACGGCUAACUACGUGCCAGCAGCCGCGGUAAUACGUAGGUCCCGAGCGUUUUCCGGAUUUAUUGGGCGUAAAGCGAGCGCAGGCGGUUCUUUAUGUCUGAAGUUAAAGGCAGUGGCUUAACCAUUGUACGCUUUGGAAACUGGAGGACUUGAGUGCAGAAGGGGAGGGUGGAAUUCCAUGUGUAGCGGUGAAAUGCGUAGAUAUAUGGAGGAACACCGGUGGCGAAAGCGGCUCUCUGGUCUGUAACUGACGCUGAGGCUCGAAAGCGUGGGGAGCAAACAGG
rnacentral:rRNA from 1 species